AAAGGAGAAGAAUGGAUCUUUAAUGACACAAGAACUAGGAAUUGGAAGACUAAUUUACAGAUGAACAUGGUGCCAAGUUAGAUUGCAUUAGCAAGAUGAGCAAAGCCCCUUCAAACGAUAAAAGAGGAGCUGGCAUGGGAUAUUUCACGGGGAGAGAUACGAAGGACGUGUCACUGGGCAGCGUUUUGGGCCUGGAAUCCAUCAUUGCAUUUUUAAGUGAUGCUUGUUUUUCCUACGUAAAUCUCAAUUGAGCCAAAGAUAACUAAACUAUUUGGACACAAAAAGACAGGCGGCUUGGUGAAUCUUUGUAGGAGGGAAAGUGAAUGUUUAAAUAAAUAAUUAUUUCCUUAUGGAACAA